CUUAGUUUUAAAACAAUAGGCCACGCAUAAAUGAGUACGUGUACAUGUGUACUUGUGUGAAUUUUACUGUAUAUGUGUGCAUUAAAGUAACUCUAACGUAGGUUGUAAUGAAGGCCAAGAAGAUGAACAUUUGAAAAUAUCAUUUGAAGAGUAAUUUUUGCGAUAGCAGUAGCAUAUUCAUGGACAAAAGAUUACUCAUCGCUCUGUAUCCAUUUUGAAAUUCCCUACUUCAAGACGUGGUACCUUACCUAUAUCUACUUAUAAUAUGUACUUACUUACAGGAUACUAAUAAAUACCCGGUACAUCUUUUAGGAAUACGUACGACAAAUUGUACGUAUUUUGAGAA